AAGGAACUAAGGGCGCACAGUG
rnacentral:rRNA from 1 species